AAAGAGAGGAGAGAAGUGAAAGAAGUUCAACCAUCCAUUGACAUUGUUGCUCGAAUACUUGAACGGUGCGCCGCGUUGGUGUUUCUGUUAGUUACAGUCACUAACAAACACAAUUCAAAUUCGUGCUUUGUUUUAUUAUAAAACACAAAACGUGAGUAACCUAAUCUUUGCUUUCAUCGGGGCAGAUUGUAAUCAUCGUGCCGAGUUUCAAAUUUACUUAUUUAAUUAUCGAGGCGAGACGUUUGAAGGUCACUCACACUGCAUUUCGCUUGUAUAAACCGGUAUGCAGCGUUCGAGGUCGAAUACUUUUGUUCAAACUGGCUGGGAAUUUUACAAAUAAAUGGAAGAGAAAGUGGAUCAUUGAAAAAAUUGAUGCGGAAGUUAAUCAAGAUACACGAACCAUCCUAGAAUUUGGUCAACAAUUUUUAUGAGGACAAUGGGACCACUGCAUACACCGUGAUCAUAGGGCUAUCUCAAUCUACUGGAAACGGGUCAUUCACGAUUGUUAAGUUGACAAGAAUCACUAUGAUCUGAGUGGACUUGAAUUACGAUUAAUGGAAAAUACAACAGGAGGGUGUAGCCUACGUUACAGACCAAGAAGAUGCAGUAUAAUCCGAGUACACAACAAAGAAGUAAAUGCAACAUGACCAUCUACAAUCUACAAAAAUGUUCAAUAAAAGCUUUCUAUGUUCUGGAUGAAGAAUCAUGCAUGACUCAUUGUAAACGAAUCAUUAAAAUAUUUGUACUUGUUACACAUCGGUAGUUUAAACAAUGCAUUACCAAUAGUCAACCUCAGAAGAGCUUCUACGAUUAGGUAUUAAAUCCAUAUAGGUAAUCUGAAAUCCAUAUUUGUGUCAUUAAACAGGUUAGAAAAUGUGCUCGGAAUUCAAAAGUGUAAAAACAUAACUUAUUUUAGCGGAAGCCAGCUAUCCAAAUUAAAUAUAUCGCAAAAAAAUGUUUCAUUGAACUAGAUCACUAAUCCUUAAAUAAUAAAGGAAAUCUAUGAUUAAAAUGACAUUAAAUUUUAGCAGGUGCAUUACAUAAUCCGAGAGAGUAAUGUAAUAAGUUAAUUGAAAACUAUACACGAUAUAUUCCACUUUCUCAUCCAUCUAGAAGGCUUUCAGUUCCUAAUGUAACAAAUGACUCUGUCAGCUUGUGUUCAGAUCAGGGAUCGAACUGAGUAAAUUCCUGGUUUAACUGCUCAUGAGACACAGAGUCUGUUACAUAAUCCAAGUGACAGUCUUAGUAAUGUAAUGUAUAAAUUGAAAAUUGUAGACGAUAUAUUCCACUUUCUGCUCCUUCGAGAAGGCUCUUAAUUUACUACAGCAACAAAUAUAAUCCUAGAGACGAUGUAUUCCAAUUUCUGCUCCAUCGAGAAGGCUUUCAAUUU